AAAGCCUUGCAGUCUUUCUGAUGGUAGUUAUCAUGCUUCUGAUUUGGCUUUAAUUGCGGACAACAAAGUAAAUGAUAACGAAAUUAUAUACGUCAGUUCUUCAACAAAUUGCUCUGGUGCAGAGAGGAAAUCCUCUGAAAGAAGUUUUAAUGCAUCUCAGAACUCUAUUUCCCAGUUUAGUUUUUCUGCUUCCAGUUUUGAAACUACAUCUACAUUCAUGAAUGAUGCUUGCCAAUUAAGGAUGAGAGUCCAUUCUUCCACAUCCAGCUCAUGUAGCGGGACAUUAAGGAGAUCU
rnacentral:misc_RNA from 1 species